AGCUGAGGGGAGUUUCUGAGGGACGGGCAGUAAGGAAUUGAGGUGAGGUUCUGAGGGAAAGGCGGGAGCGAGCUGAGGGGAAGUUCUGAGGGAGAGGCGUGAAAAAGCUGAGGGGAAUUUCUGAGGAAUAGGCCUCCUAUUACAAGGGCAGAGAUGUUUUGUGUUGAAGGCACUGGGAGACUGGAAAGGCCUCAGAGAAGAACAAGAAGAGGCUAUCUUGCUAUGCCUAAACUGUAGUCCUGCGUACAUGUGUGUGAACCUCCAUGGUUGUUCAUGGCGUCUCCCAGGAGCAGCCCCAGUCCUGAUUCCUCAUUCCAGUACGUAGUGUGUGCUACUGAGUGCAAGGUACCGCUGUGAGGAGUGUCCCCACCUGUUGGACCAGCAAGUGUAGCUCUGCAGGUAAGAAAAAGUUUCUCUGCUGAUGUAAAUUGAAUGCAAAAGAGCAAACCUAGUUCUGUGGCAGAAAUGUUCUAGUUCUGUGUUUAGAGUGAGGUGACAUGAAU